AGUUCCACAUUUUGAAUUAAGUCGCUCUGGAUAAGAGCGUCUGCUAAAUGACUUAAA
rfam:Salmo salar isolate Sally breed double haploid chromosome ssa05, whole genome shotgun sequence.